UAAUUUUUUGCUACACAUGGAAUAAAGUUGAUACCCCAAAUGGUGGAUCUAACUCCAGUUUUUGGUUCAUUGGAGAUGAAAUUUCUCACUAGGGCUCCAAAUGUAGUAGUUUUCAUAGAGGAUAAAGCCCACAUUGGGGAUGCUCUGACAAGUGAAAAUAAAUACCACUAGACUAUAGUACUAAGUGACCCGACAAAAUUUUUUCGUCUAGCAAGGAAUUUAUUUUAUAGUCAAGUAUUUAUGCAUUGAAAAUUUGAACUCUUCUGAUGUAAUAUGUAGUAUACAUGAACAAGAUACUUUUCUCUUCCCACUUACAUGGUUUAUGCGUUAAAAAAUUCAAAUCAUAAGGAGGCGGAUAGGAUUUUCAAUUUAAAAUCAAGGAAAAUCGAACAAAAGUAGUCAGAUAGGGUUUAUGGAUGAGUCGUGUUACUUACAUUCAAUGGUAAUUAAUGUAAUUUGUUUUAAAAUCAUAGACACUUUAAUUGCUGACAUGGAAGACUGUUCUACUUACUAGACCCACCUAUAACAAUGUAUUUCUAAUGGAUCUCGUUAAAAAAAUGUCUAAGAAAUUUUGUUCAUCAUCUGAUAUAUCAAAUUUAAACUAUUAUUCAUUACAUUAUUACUUUUCAUAAUUGUAAUAAGUAUUUUUAAAACAAGAAAUAAUAAUUAAAAAUGAUGAAAAACUUUACUAAUCACUUCAAAUAGAUUUGAAAUUGCUGUCAAAUUUGACAGCAACCACAUUUGCUGUCAAUCCAGAUCAUGUCACAUAGGAAUUGACAUUUAGGUUGGAAAACACUGAUGUUAUCUUUUUUUACUAUUAUUGCUGAUGAAAACAUUUUCACUCCUCAUUUAGAGAUGCUCUAAGGAGGCAAAACUCCAAAUAGGAUUCUUGAUUGCGUGAGGAUAACUUGGAGACAAGGAAACAGAUUUUUUAUUUUAUGUUUUGUAUUUUUUGAACACGAAAGCAGAAGAAACCAAAUCCUUACAAGUAAAAGAAGCUUAAAACCCAAACUGUAAACUUCGUAAAUACCUAAACCAAUCUUGGGCUGGGCGUGUUGUCCAAAAGAAAAAAUCUAGUCAUAUUGUUGUGCUAAGAUAGCACCAAACCCGUUGGAACCAACUCAAGCUAACCCACAGGAAAUUUAUUAAAUGAAAUGCAAGAACAAAAUAUUAAAGACACCAAGAUUUUAACGAGGUUCCUCAACAGUCAGUGUAACUGGAGUACGUCCUCGGAGCAGUAGGAGCUCACCCAAUAAUCCACUAUCAACCAAAUGGGAGUUUACAAAGUGUUGACAAUCUCAUAACCCAAAAGCCCAAUACACCCAAUAGCUCUCACACACCAAAGAAACAAAUAGAGAGGGAAAUAUAGUGAAUAAUUUCAUCUCUAUACAAAGCUCAAAGCUAAUACACAAAUACAACUUUGAUUGAGUGAGUACCAACAAAGAAAGAAAAUCACCUUUCUUUCUUCUCUUCAAAAUGAGGCUGCAGCACCUCUGUUUUUGCUCUCAUUUUCUGCUACGUUUUUUCCUCUCUUAUGGCUUCAUUACUACACUUCAUCAAAAAUAGCAAUUAUUUCUCUUUCAAAGAACUCAUCCGUGACUUCCCAUGGACCAAGACAACUUUAGACCAACUCCCUUUUCUUUUCCCCAAAACAAGGAAGAGACAUAAUUAUUUUGUCUUUUUUUUCUUUUUGAUUUGUUUAAUUAAAAGGUGGCCACUUGGCCACAUACUCCAACAAUCUCCACCUUGGCCAAGUUCCGAAAAAUGUCAUGAUAAGCCAACCAACACAAUUAACACACAACAUCACUCCCAAACACUAGCAAGAGAACAACUCAUGCCGAGCCAAAUACUCCAAAACUCCUACUGCUCAACGCCUUCUUUAUAUAGGCAUAAUGUGAGCCAAGUUCAAACAGUGAACAAACUUGGCUACACCAACAACCUUAGUCAACAUAUCAGCGGGGUUGUCUUUCGUUGGAAUCUUCUGGAGAAUGAUUUCCCCUUCACCAACAAUUUCACGAACAAAGUGAUAACGCACAUCUAUAUGCUUGGUCAUCGCAUGAUGAACCUGAUACUUAGCCAAAUAAAUGGCACUCUGACUAUCACAAUGUACCUCCACCUGCUUCUGAUCAACCCCCAAAUCUCUAAUAAGCCCAUGUAUCCAAAUGACCUCCUUUAUAGCUUCAGCAACUGCCAUAUAUUCAGCCUCUGUAGUAGACAAGGCAACAGACGACUGCAAAAUGGACCUCCAACAAACUGGCCCUUUAGCCAUAGUAAACACAUAGCCUGUAGUAGACUUCCUUCCAUCCAGAUCACCUGCAUAAUCUGAAUCAACAUAACCAACUGCAAAAUGACCAAUACCAGAGUCAUCUUUCUCAAAGCAUAAACCAACAUCUCGAGUACCAUGAAGAUACCUCAAUAUCCACUUAGCUGCUUGCCAAUGCUCUUUACCUGGAUUAUGCAUAUAUCGACUCACCAUGCCAACUGCAUGAGCAAUAUCCGGUCUAGAGCAUACCAUUGCAUACAUCAAACUACCAACCAAAUUUGCAUAUGGUAUAUUUUUCAUUUGCAGCUUCUCUUUAUCAUUUUUUUAGGACAUUGUAGAGAACUCAAUUUAAAAUGAGGAGCCAAAGGGGUACUAACCGGUUUGGUUGAAUCAUGAACUCCAAACUUCCGAAUCAACUUUUCAAGGUAUUGCCUUUGAUUCAAACUGACCAAACCCUUCUCUCUAUCUCUAGUGAUCUCCAUGCCAAUGAUCUUCUUUGCUUCACCAAGAUCCUUCAUCUCAAACUCAUUCUUCAUUUGUUUCUUCAAUUUCUCAAUCUCUUCAACAUUCUUUGAGGCAAUCAACAUAUCAUCAACAUAUAUCAAUAAAUAAAUGAAAGACCCAUCUUGCAACUUCUUGAAGUACACACAAUGAUCAUAUUGACUUCUAGAAUAAUUUUGGCCUCUCAUAAAUUUAUCAAACCUCAAAUACCAUUGUCUUGGAGAUUGCUUCAAGCCAUAUAGUGAUUUCUUCAAUUUGAAAAACAAGUUCUCCUUCCCUUUCACUAUAUACCCAUCCGGUUGACACAUAUAAAUCUCUUCAUUCAAAUCACCAUGUAGGAAAGCCGUCUUCACAUCAAGUUGCACAAGCUCAAGAUCAUAUUGUGCAACAAGAGCUAACAUAAUACGAAUUGAGGAGUGUUUCACAACCGGAGAAAAUAUUUCAUUGUAGUCAAUGCCCUCCUUUUGUGCAUACCCUUUAGCAACUAAUCUUGCUUUGAAUCUCACAUUGCUUUUCUCAUCAGCAUCUUCCUUCUUGGCAUACACCCAUUUGCAACCGAUAGCUUUCUUGCCCUUAGGCAAUUUAGCUAACUCCCAAGUCUUAUUCUUCAAGAGAGAAUUUAUCUCAUCACCCAUGGCAUUGCACCACCUUUUCUUCUCCUCACUCUCAAUAGCUUCCUCAAAAUUGGAUGGAAUCUCAUCAGUGAUAAUAGGAAGAGCAAAAGAAACAUAGUCACUAUACCGAGCUGGCUUGGUAAUUUGUCUCUUUCCUCUGUUCUUGGCAAUAGACUCUUGAGGUGAAACUUCCUCUUCAACUUGAAUAGAAUCUUCAAGUUCAACUUCUUCAACAUCCUCAUGGUCUCCAACUUCUUCACUUGUAGUGGCUUCGACAUCAGCGGAAAUAGGAUUUGAAGUACCAGAGGCAACUUUCUCAAGCUCCACCUGUUGGACAUCUUUCACAUUCUUCUCAGAGACUUUGUACAUACUUUCUUCAUCAAAUGUCACAUCUCUACUGAUUACAAGUUUCUUCAUCUCUGGACACCACAACCUGUAACCUUUGACACCACUACUAAAACCAAGAAAGAUAGCCUUUUUGGCUCUAGGAUCAAGUUUAUUUUUCAGUUACAUGAAAAUAAGCAGGUGAACCAAAAAUACGAAUAUGAUCAUAAUCAGAAUAAGGUUUUCCAGUCCAUACCUCCAUUGGUGUCUUACCCUGAAUAGCAGCUGAGGGUAACCGGUUGAUGAUGUGACAUGCAUAAUUAACUGCCUCUGCCCAAAAUGACUUGCUUAAACCCGACUGAGACAACAUACAUCUAACCUUCUCAAGCAAGGUUCGAUUCAAUCUUUCUGCAACUCCAUUUUGUUGUGGAGUUCCCCGAACACUAAAAUGUCUCACAAUUCCUUCUUCUUUGCAAACUUUAAAGAAAGGGUCGGAUGUGUAUUCACCACCAUUAUCCGAUCUCAAAAUCUUAAUCUUUCUCCCAGUCUGGUUCUCAACCAUUUUCUUCCAUCCCAAGAAAAUGCUUAACACCUCACUCUUGUGCUUCAUAGUGUAAACCCAAGACCUUCUUGAAUAAUCAUCAACAAAGGUCACGAACCAAUGUCUACCACUCAAAGAGGGAGUCUUUGUAGGACCCCAAACAUCCGAAUGCACAUAAUCAAGAAUGCCCUUCGUCUGAUGUACAGCAGUACCAAACUUCACUCUAGUUUGCUUCCCCAAGACACAAUGCUCGCAGAAAUCAAGCUUACAAGUCGUGGCACCUUUUAGAAGACCUUUUUUCACAAGCCCUUGUAGAGCUUUCUCACCGGCAUGGCCUAAUCUCAUAUGCCACAGUCUAGUAGUAUCUGAAUCAGAUGUGCCCAUAUUUUCAGAAACUACAGAUGCUUCACCUGUCACAGUGCUUCCCUGCAAUAAAUACAAAUGGCCACAUCUAGGAGCUUUCAUCACAACAAGUGCACCGUAAGUAACUUUUAAUGUCUGCCCAUCUGAAUGAAACCUGAAACCCUUGGAUUCCAAAGUACCCAAAGAAAUAAGAUUUUCUUCAAAUUCGGUACAUACCGAACACCUGUCAACUCUUUAACCAUGCCAUCAUGCAACUUCAACCGAACUGUACCAAUCCCUUUUGUUGUGCAAGGAUUGUCAUCUCCCAUGAACACAACGCCACCAUCAAACUCUUUCAAGCUUGAAAACCAAUCCUUGUGAGGAGUCAUAUGAUGAGUACAACCCGUAUCCAGCACCCACUUAGUAGCACAAUCAAAUGAUGAGGAAGUGGUUAAAGCAAAAUCAGAAAAAAUCUGUUUCAACCUCAGCAACAUUAGCUUCAGAACUUUCUUUGCCUUUGGUCUUCAAUUUAGGACAAUCUUUCUUCCAAUGGCCCUUAUUAUGACAAAAGGCACAUUCAUCCCUUUCCAAAGGUUUUCUACCUUUAGAGUUUCCUCUAGGUCGAGACUGUGAUUUUUUCCUACUAGAAGAUGAUCUUCUCUCCGAUGAUCUACCUCUAACAAAUAAAGCUUCAGAGGUACUAUCAUGAUUUUUUAUCUCUAUGCCUCAUUUCAUAAUUCAUCAAGGCAUUUGACACAUCUCUUCAAAUUUCACAGUUUCUUUACCAUGCAUAAUAGUGGUAACAAAAUGCUCAUAAGAGUCCGGCAAGGAAUUCAACAAUAUUAAGGCCUUAUCUUCAUCCUUAAUAUCCUCAUCUAAAUUUAACAAGUCGGCAAUCAACUUAUUAAAAGCAUCAAGGUGUCUAAUCAUUUUUGUACCUUCUUUGUAUUGGAAGCGGUAGAGCUUUUUCUUCAAGUGUAGCCGGUUCUCUGCACUCUUCGUCAUAUACUUGUCUUCCAAUUUUUGCCACGAUACACUUGCUACCGUCUCCCGCAUCACAAAAUACUUCUGAGUUUUUGCAAGGCACAACCGAAUUGAAGAGCAAGCCCACAAAUUUAAUUUCUCCCAUUCCGACUUCGACAUAGCUUCCGGCUUUUCUCCCAAAGCGGCAAGUAGAUCUUGUUGAGCCAACACAUCUUUGACCUCACAUUGCCACAUCCCGAAGUUGUUUGUGCCAUCAAACUUUUCAACUUCGAACUUUGCAUUUUGCACCGUAGUUCUUGCAAACCCGGAGCUGCUUCCAAAAGGAUUCUCAUCUUGCCCGUCUGACAUCUUUGGCAACUAGACAGUACCCAAGAGCAACCAGUGCUCUGAUACCAAUUGUUGUGCUAAGAUAGCACCAAACCCGUUGGAACCAACUCAAGCUAACCCACAGGAAAUUUAUCAAAUGAAAUGCAAGAACAAAAUAUUAAAGACACCAAGAUUUUAACGAGGUUCCUCAACAGUCAGUGUAACUGGAGUACGUCCUCGGAGCAGUAGGAGCUCACCCAAUAAUCCACUAUCAACCAAAUGGGAGUUUACAAAGUGUUGACAAUCUCACAACCCAAAAGCCCAAUACACCCAAUAGCUCUCACACACCAAAGAAACAAAUAGAGAGGGAAAUAUAGUGAAUAAUUUCCUCUCUAUACAAAGUUCAAAGCUAAUACACAAAUACAACUUUGAUUGAGUGAGUACCAAUAAAGAAAGAAAAUCACCUUUCUUUCUUCUCUUCAAAAUGAGGCUGCAGCACCUCUGUUUUUGCUCUCAUUUUCUGCUACGUUUUUUCCUCUCUUAUGGCUUCAUUACUACACUUCAUCAAAAAUAGCAAUUAUUUCUCUUUCAAAGAACUCAUCCGUGACUUCCCAUGGACCAAGACAACUUUAGACCAAUUCCCUUUUAUUUUCCCCAAAACAAGGAAGAGACAUAAUUAUUUUGUCUUUUUUUUCUUUUUGAUUUGUUUAAUUAAAAGGUGGCCACUUGGCCACAUACUCCAACACAUAUUUCUCUGGCGUUUCAUGCCUUUGGCUUAGUUAAAUACGAGUAAUUUUUAGCGUAUUCAAAACAUUAUUAUGCGGUACUACUAUUCUCGCAAGCAUUAAGCAAGUAACCCCAUCCCAAAGUAUCAUGAACGUAGAGCGGCAACUAUAAUAGUAAUGCUGUCAUUUAACAGAAAGACAAAAAUCUAUGAAGCUGCUUAAAUCGUUUCAAUUAACACGAAGGUUCAUCCUAUUCAAAUUCAUGACAAAAAGUAUUGAUUUCUCUUUCGAAUAGGUCCCGAUAGAAGAAGGAAGGUUAAAUUGCCAACGUGCUAUUAUUGAAUUAAAUUCACUUGACCCAAUACACAAAUUAAUUAUAACAUAUCACAUAUAUGUAUUUGUUUUUAUUAACAUAUUUUAAUAGUAGGAUAUAUCAAUCAUUUCGUUCACUGAUAUUAUAACACAUGAAAUAAUAAGAUCACACGUUACCAUUCACUAAACAUUAAUGAAACAGUGGACUUUUAGAAUAUGACCUCAGAAUUAUUGAUUUUCGUUUCAUAAUGUAAAGAACUCAUAUGCUACAAACUACAAUAUUAUCAUCUCUAAAUUCCCAUUCAAUAAAUUAAUUUUCAGUAAUUUAACCACCCGAUGGUGAGGUAUGAACAUUAUUCAGUUAGGUUCAAAUAUUACUAUGAAGAGAGGUUCGAGCGGCAAUAUUUAUAAAUUCCAGACGAACGAAAUCAAUUCUCACUGAUAUAAAAGCAUAAAGCAUACAUAAUAACGUCAAGGUAUCAAGCAGUUUGUAGUUCAAUUAGUCAAGACAUUUACCUUCUGCGCUAAAAGUCUCAAGUAUGAUUCUUUCUCUUUACUAAUCAUGUUUAUAUCCGAAAUCAAGAAGGGCCUAAACGGCAAAGAAGAAACCCAUCCUUGUUUGUCUCUAAUUUAAAAUCCCCGUUAAUCACCUUUCUAGGUUCCUUAAAUAGCCUUAUUUGAAGAACACUUUUGAGCUCACUUCGUCCUUUUUCUCGAUGAUUCAAACUGUUUAUAUUAAAAUUAUU
rnacentral:lncRNA from 1 species